rnacentral:tRNA from 1 species
AAACGAUAGCCAAGCGGUAAAGGCGCUCGACUAGAUUCGAGUGGCGCAAGCCAUCGGUGGUUCGAAUCCACCUCGUUUUG